GGAAAUUUUAUUGCUGCGCAUUUCAGUUUCCAACAGUUUAUCUUUUUGCACCUUUAACUCUGUGAUCGUACUAAACUCACUUGUUAGUUCUAGCAGUUUUGUAGCUUUGGAUUUAAAAAAAAAAUGUAGGUAAUAACGUCCUCUGCAAAUCUUAACAGUUUUAUUUCUAAUCUCUGCCUUUUAUUUCCUUUUCUGGCCUUUCUGCACUAGCUAGCACUCCAGUGCGAUGUUGAAUAAUAGUGGGAAGAGUGGACAUACCUGCCUUGUUGUCAACGUUAGAGGGAAAGCAUUCUGUCUCUGACCAUUCUGUUUUCAACAGCAAGGGCACAAUCACGUAAAUCAUACCAAUAUACACACUGCAACAAAACACUUAGUUUGACUGUACUUUUUGGUCAGCUAAGGCAAAAACGAUGGUGCAUGAAAUCGAAGUUCCCCUAUAACUGCAAUUGUAAUGUGAUAUGAAAACGUGGGAUUCCUAUUGCUGACAAAGUCACAAGGCACUGCUGAUACUGUUGUGGUCCUCGCCAACACAAAAUUGAAGGAAAUUCUAGAUUUCAGCUAGAGAUUAGCUUAACAAUAAGCUUUUUCUAUUUGAGGUCGCCUGUUAAAAUCGCGUGCCUGGGGAGGAAAGCCAGGGACCACAGAGACGUGUGGUCUGGUUUCCUAGAGAGGAAGCUCGCGAUACUUGGGUGCUGCGGCCGACGUAGUUACGCACUUCCAGUCACACCACACAUUGCACUUUUCCUGAGCCCCUGCCCUUCAUUGAGAGAGAGCCCAAUAAUGGCUGUCAUGCCCCUGAAAGUCUGGCACCAGGCAGUGGUGACCUUUGAGGAUGUGGCUGUUUACUUCACCCGGACAGAAUGGGCUGGCCUUUCUCCUGCACAGAGGGCCCUGUACAGAAGUGUGAUGCUGGAGAUCUGUGGGAACUUGAUGUCCCUGGGAUACCCAAUUCCCAAACCUACAUUAGUCUCACUUCUAGAGAGAGGGGAUUUGCUUGCGGGCCUGGAGACACAGGAUAAUCCUCCUGCACAGGGGACUGAAGAAAUCUAUAAAAAUGCCAGGACCCACAUGGACAGUGAAUUAACACCAACAUGGGGAAUUUCUGAAGAAAGAGACAUGAUGAUGUCACAUGGACCACAGAAGAACAUUCUUAACAAAAGCAGCUUCCUAGAAACAUGUGAACUGGAGCAACACCAGGAAAUCCCCAUAGUGAAAAAUGUUAGAGGAAAGGUUCUAAGAAUCCACUAUGAUGGGAAACCCUUCAGAUGUGAAGAGUGUGGGAAAUGCUUCAGCUAUUUUUCUUAUUAUGUUAGACAUCAGAGAAUCCACACUGGGGAGAAACCCUUUGAGUGUAAUGAGUGUGGAAAAGCCUUUAAUGGCAAUUCUUCAUUAAUUCGACAUCAGAGAAUCCACACUGGUGAGAAACCCUAUCAGUGUGAAGAGUGUGGGAGAGCCUUUAAUGAUAAUGCAAAUCUGAUUAGGCAUCAGAGAAUCCACAGUGGGGACAGACCCUAUUUCUGUAGGGAGUGUGGAAAUGGUUUCACCAGUAGUUCUGAGUUUGUUAUACACCAGAGAAUUCACACUGGAGAGAAACCUUAUAAGUGUAAUGAGUGUGGAAAAGCUUUUGUUGGUAAUUCACCACUUCUGCGACAUCAGAAAAUCCACACUGGAGAGAAACCGUAUGAGUGUAAUGAGUGUGGCAAAAGCUUUGGAAGGACUUCUCAUCUUAGUCAGCAUCAGCGUAUUCACACAGGGGAAAAGCCUUACUCUUGUAAAAUAUGUGGGCAAGCCUUCAAUUUCCGUACAAAACUAACUCGGCACCAGCAAGUCCACAGUGAGGUGAAACCUUUUGACUGUAUAUGUUGUGGAAAAGUGUUUAGUACUCAGGCUCAGUUGAAAAGACAUCUAAGAAUCCAUAUUCAGGAGACAUCCUGUGAUGAGUGUGGAAAAGUUUUCACUAGCGAAAGAAAUCUGCUUCAGCAUCAAAGAGUCCAUACUAGAAAGAAACCCUGUGACUGUGUCAAGUAUGAAAAAACCUUUAGGACAUCUUCCCAGCUAGAUUGUGUCCACCCUGGAGAGAAGCCUGUGCUGGAUGUUGGUUGUUUUGGGCUCCCAGAAUUUUUUACCCCCUUUUACUGGUAACAGUACACAAUAUUUCCUUUGCCUUCCAUCUUCCACUCGGGUAGAAUGUGUGACACAGGCCCAGUUUAGCUACAGGUUCCUUCCCUCAGGCUACAGCUCUUGGUUCAUAUGUCAAUAGAUGACCCAAGAUAGUCCAGUUAGAAUCCCAGACCAAGUUAAUAACCCUCCUAAUGUUGAGUGUGGCCCUGGCCACAGCAACCAGACAGAAGACUAUGGCCCUGCAAUCCUUUCACCUUCCAGUUGUUGCAAACUUUUGACAUUUGUACUUGUUAAGAGUCAAAGAUAUGUGAACAAUGUGGCCUCCUAAUGGAUGGUUUCACAGGCUUCUUGGUGUUUGGAGAACCACAUGCACCCAUGUGGACUUUGGAAAGCCUACCAGUUAUGAAUUCCAUGGUAUUGAAUAAUCCUUGAAACUCCCAGUACUUCAUUGAGCAAGGAUUUCCUUACCACCCUUAGGAUUUGGUGUCUGUUCUUUGUAGCACAGAGAGAAGAGGCUGGAAAAAUGAGUGGUUUGGGGGAGUGGUUGAUUAAUGUGGCCAAGGGCAGGCUUGAAUCCUGAGCUCCCACCUCCCAGGACCAAGACAGGUCUGUGGGCCUUGCAAGGGCAUGAGACCUGUUCUGGGCCAGUCUCUUGAGAUGCAAGAACCUGGUGUUCAAGGCUGGAGCCUGGAGUUUUACCACCAUCAUCAUCCUUGCUCUUCAGCAAAUGGGAGAACUUGUGGCUGGAUAGCAAGAGGAUUCGACAGGUCAUCCAUAACACCAAAGACAUGGUGGCUCCUAAUGUAAUCUUAUGAUAUGUCUUAAUAACAUGUGGACCCCUACAAGGCCAGUUAAUAUCACAACUUUGGUUAAACUGGAUCUAGGCUCACUUCUACCACCUGUCCCAAAGUUUGAAAAUGUCUUUUCCAUUCUGAUCCAGUUUUCUUUUUCUGGAAGUUAUCUUGAGACUUUCAUUUUCACAACCUUGAUGGAGUUAAAGCACACAAGAUUCAAGGAAGAUGCUCCAGCCCUCCAUCAACACCCAAAGCUGAACUCUACUUCAGUGAUUCCCUGGACAACUUGCUUAUGGAACAUUUUACAUGAUCUUUAAGUGCUGUCUUUACUACGAUACAGAUCCCAGGCGCCAGCCCCUGGUUUGGGUCCAUCGCUCGCCUCAUUCUUGCCUUCCCUACCCCACCUCGAGGAGCACUGCUUUCUCUAUUAGACCCGCAUCCGGGAGAAGGAAGCCAGGAUAGAGUACCCGGGAUUCCGCUGCAGGGGGUGGGGCCAGAGCACAUCCGAGAAGGAGCGAUGCUGCUGCUAGAGAGACUCGGCCGCGGUCUGGUGACGUACUUCCGGCCGCGCCGUGGAGCGGCUAGCUUCGGAGGGUGAAUCGAGGUCAGUGGGGGAACAGAAAAAGCAAGAGCCCCUCCAGGGCACCUGAGAUCGGAAGAAACCCGGAUUUUGGAGGGCACUGUCUUCUGGAGCGAUGUCAGUUCCAAAAGGACCCAGUGGACGUCUGCAGAUGUCCCACACAGGACAGAGAAGCCCCAGGGCAGGAGCCAUUACCAUGUGUGGUGUAGACCCUUGAGGAAGCAUUGGUAGGUUGUACUUGUGCAAAGCUGGUCAAAGCCUCUGGAACUGGACUAAGAGUGGACAAGAGGAUUUGGUAAGCUCCAGUCCUCCUCUGAGAGGGAGACCAGAUGAUGGCAGCCAUGCUCCUGACAUCCUGGCCCCAGGGCAUGAGCCAUGGAAUUGGCCGUAGGGCAGCAGGAACCUGUUGUUUCAGAAGUCGGUGACCUUCGAGGACGUGGCUGUGUACUUCACCCAGACAGAGUGGGACAGCCUGUCCACUGCACAGAGGGCCCUGUACAGGGAUGUGAUGCUGGAGAAUUAUGGGAAUGUGGCUUCCCUGGGAUUUCCGCUUCUCAAACCUGCUGUGAUCUCACAACUGGAGGGAGGAGGUGAGCUUGAGGGCCCAUCUCCACUGGCCUCUGGAGCAGGCACAGGCCCCCAGGGCCUCUGGACUGAUAUUGAUAUCCAGACUGACAAUAAUUUGACAGAAGAAAUGAAUGAAGAAAAAUAUAAUACAUCAUAUAAACUUCAGAGGAACUCUUUUCAGGAAACAGAUUUUACAGAAACCUAUAUUCUAAAGAAACAGCAGGAGGUCCACUCAGUAGGAAGUGAAGUGAAGAAAGAAAACAGCAAUGUCAUUGACAGGAUGGUGAAAGACAAUACUAGCCCCAUGGAGGAGUGUUUGUUUAGUCAGAGUCCAAAUUUGAAUCAGUGUCAUACCAUCUCCACUGGAGAGCAGCCCCCUGAGUGUACAAGACUGGAGAAAGCCUUCAGCUUUGACACAAAACUUAUUCAACAGGAAAUAAUUAAUGCUGGGGAAAGACCUUUCAAAUGUGAAGAAUUAAUGGAAAACUUUAGCUGUAACUCUCAACUUAAUCAGGGUCAAGAUAGCUACACUGGGGAGAAGCCCCAUCAGUAUAAGGAGUGUGGCAAAGCCUUUAACAUCAAUGCAAAAUUAAUUUGGCAUCAAAGACUUCACAGUGGGGAGAAGCCCUUCAAAUGUGUAGAGUGCGGUAAAAGCUUCAGUUACAGUUCCCAUUAUAUUACACAUCAGACAAUCCACAGUGGGGAGAAGCCCUAUCAGUGUAAGGUGUGUGGAAAAGCCUUCAGUGUUAAUGGGAGUCUAAGUAGGCAUCAGAGAAUCCAUACAGGAGAGAGGCCCUAUCAGUGCAAGGAGUGUGGGAGCGGCUUUAGCUGCAGUUCUGCAUAUAUCAUACAUCAGAGAAUCCACACUGGAGAGAAACCUUAUGAAUGUAAAGACUGUGGAAAAGCUUUCAAUGUUAAUGCAAAAUUAAUUCAACAUCAGCGGAUCCACACUGGAGAGAAACCUUAUGAAUGUACUGAGUGUGGGAAAGGCUUCAGGUGCAGUUCCCAGCUUAGGCAGCAUCAGAGCAUCCACACUGGAGAGAGGCCUUUUCAGUGUAAGGAGUGUGGAAAGGCCUUUAGCAGUAAUGCAAAACUCAUUCAGCAUCAAAGAAUUCACACAGGGGAGAAACCCUAUGAAUGUACUGAAUGUGGAAAAGCCUUUGGUGUCAAAGGGAAAUUAAUCCAGCACCAGAGAAUCCACACGGGUGAGAAACCCUAUGAGUGUAAAGAAUGUGGCAAAACCUUCAGGUGUAACUCCCAGCUUCGGCAGCAUCUGAGAAUCCACACUGGGGAGAAGCCCUAUGAGUGUAAUGUGUGUGGAAAGGCCUUCAACGUUAAUGCGAAAUUAAUGCAGCAUCAGAGGAUUCACACUGGGGAGAAACCCUUUGAAUGUAAUGAGUGCAGGAAAUGCUUUACUUCUAAAAGAAACCUACUUGAUCAUCACCGAAUCCAUACUGGAGAAAAGCCCUACCAAUGUAAGGAAUGUGGGAAAGCGUUUAGUAUCAAUGCCAAACUAACUAGGCAUCAGAGAAUACACACUGGGGAGAAACCUUUCAAAUGUAUGGAAUGUGAGAAAGCAUUCAGCUGUAGUUCUGACUAUAUUGUGCAUCAGAGAAUCCAUACUGGAGAGAAACCCUUUCAGUGUAAGGAGUGUGGAAAAGCCUUCCAUGUUAAUGCUCAUUUAAUUCGGCAUCAAAGAAGCCACACUGGUGAGAAACCCUUCAGAUGUGUGGAGUGUGGCAAAGGCUUCAGCUAUAGUUCUGACUGUAUUAUACAUCAGACGGUUCAUACUUGGAAGAAACCCUAUGUGUGUAAUGUGUGUGGGAAAGCCUUCAGGUUUAGCUUCCAACUUAGUCAGCAUCAGAGCAUUCACAGUGAAGAAAAGUCCUCAUGAAAGGGAUGUAGAAAAUUGUCAGUGUUAACGCUGAACUGGAUCAAGUGUCCUCAGAUUCACCCUGGUGGAAAACCCUGAAAGGGAAAUUAAUAUGGCUGAGUCUUCACAAGGAAACAAAUCUUUUUCAUUUUAUUCAGUUUUAAAUCAAGAAUGAUGACCAGUUUUCAAAUAACAUCCAAAACUAAAUAGUUUGGUUUAUACCAACAACCAAUAGGAAAUAUAAUGAAGGAAAAUAUUCCAUUCCCAACAGCAUCAAGAACAGUCAAUUUUCUGGGUAUAAACUUAUUAUGUAGGACUUCUGUGGAGAACUUGCAGAUCUCCAUUGAGGGCCACAGAAGGGAAGUUAAAUAAAUGGAAGAGAGCAGUACCUUCUUCUUAGAUAGAAAAACUCUUCAACUACUUACCUAAAUUAAUUUAUUGCCCUUUAAUUUUUUACAAGAAGCAUGCAUCAGUUUGUAAAGAGGUGUAACAAUAAAACUUUCCUUAAGGGAAAAA